rnacentral:rRNA from 1 species
CCUACGGGGGGCAGCAGUAGGGAAUCUUUCACAAUGGGCGAAAGCCUGAUGGAGCAACGCCGCGUGCAGGAUGAAGGCCUUCGGGUUGUAAACUGCUUUUAUAAGCGAGAAAUAUGAUGGUAACUUAUGAAUAAGGAUCGGCUAACUACGUGCCAGCAGCCGCGGUCAUACGUAGGAUGCGAGCAUUAUCCGGAGUGACUGGGGGUAAAGAGUUGCGUAGGUGGCAUAGUAAAUAGCUAGUGAAAUCGGGUGGCUCAACCAUUCAGACUAUUAGCGAAACUGUUAAGCUCGAGACCGUUAGAGGUAAGUGGAAUUCCUAGUGUAGGGGUGAAAUGCGUAGAUAUUAGAAAGAACACCGAUAGCGUAGGCAGGUUACUGGGACGGUACUGACGCUGAGGCACGAAAGCGUAGGGAGCAAACGGGAUUAGAUACCCCAGUAGUC